UACGUAGGGGGCAAGCGUUGUCCGGAUUUAUUGGGCGUAAAGAGCUCGUAGGCGGUUUGGUAAGUCUGGUGUGAAAUCUCCACGCUCAACGUCGGAGGGGCCACCCGAUAGCUGCCAUGACUGGAGUCCGGUAGAGGAGUGUGGGAAUUCCCGGUGUAGCGGUGAAAUGCGCAGAGUAUCAGGAGGAACACCGGUGGCGAAGGCGGGUCUCUGGGCCGAUACUGACGCUGAGGAGCGAAAGCGUGGGGAGCGAACAGG
rnacentral:rRNA from 1 species